rnacentral:rRNA from 1 species
UACGUAGGGGGCUAGCGUUGUUCGGAAUUACUGGGCGUAAAGCGCGCGCAGGCGGUCUUCCAAGUCAGUGGUGAAAGCCCGGAGCUCAACUCCGGAACUGCCAUUGAAACUGUGAGACUUGAGGAUGAGAGAGGUGAGUGGAAUUCCCAGUGUAGAGGUGAAAUUCGUAGAUAUUGGGAAGAACACCGGUGGCGAAGGCGGCUCACUGGCUCAUUUCUGACGCUCAGGCGCGACAGCGUGGGGAUCAAACAGG